rnacentral:rRNA from 1 species
UACGGAGGGUGCAAGCGUUGUUCGGAAUGAUUGGGCGUAAAGCGUCCGCAGGUGGCAGUUCAAGUCUGCUGUCAAAGACCGAGGCUUAACUUCGGAAAGGCAGUGGAAACUGAACAGCUAGAGUAUGGUAGGGGCAGAGGGAAUUCCUGGUGUAGCGGUGAAAUGCGUAGAGAUCAGGAAGAACAUCGGUGGCGAAGGCGCUCUGCUGGACCAUAACUGACACUCAGGGACGAAAGCUAGGGGAGCGAAUGGG